rnacentral:rRNA from 1 species
CUCGUAGGCGGUUCGUCGCGUCCGGUGUGAAAGUCCAUCGCUUAACGGUGGAUCCGCGCCGGGUACGGGCGGGCUUGAGUGCGGUAGGGGAGACUGGAGUUCCCGGUGUAACGGUGGAAUGUGUAGAUAUCGGGAAGAACACCAAUGGCGAAGGCAGGUCUCUGGGCCGUCACUGACGCUGAGGAGCGAAAGCGUGGGGAGCGAACA